rnacentral:rRNA from 1 species
AGCGAACGCUGGCGGCAGGCUUAACACAUGCAAGUCGAGCGGGCGUAGCAAUACGUCAGCGGCAGACGGGUGAGUAACGCGUGGGAACGUACCUUUUGGUUCGGAACAACCCAGGGAAACUUGGGCUAAUACCGGAUAAGCCCUUACGGGGAAAGAUUUAUCGCCGAAAGAUCGGCCCGCGUCUGAUUAGCUAGUUGGUGAGGUAAUGGCUCACCAAGGCGACAAUCAGUAGCUGGUCUGAGAGGAUGAUCAGCCACAUUGGGACUGAGACACGGCCCAAACUCCUACGGGAGGCAGCAGUGGGGAAUAUUGGACAAUGGGCGCAAGCCUGAUCCAGCCAUGCCGCGUGAGUGAUGAAGGCCCUAGGGUUGUAAAGCUCUUUUGUGCGGGAAGAUAGUGACGGUACCGCAAGAAUAAGCCCCGGCUAACUUCGUGCCAGCCGCCGCGGUAACAC